rnacentral:ncRNA from 1 species
GAAAAACAGAUUAGAAGAUGAGUAACGUUCUCAACUUUAAUGAGAGAGCUGCGGUUGGUGAAAAGCAGUAAAGGGCGAGCGUGAAGAUGGUCUUCUACGAAAUAGGGUACUCGAACAAUCGCAAGAGUAUCAUGGGUGUGCCCAUUACAGCACGCGGGUAUCAAAGGUACCCAGUGAGGAAACCGGUGUGAGCUGGUUUCAAAUUAAGGUGGUAACACGAGAAAUCGUCCUUAUC